UCAGAUCCCUGUUCAAAGGAAAUCCAGAAGCUUUUAGCAUCCAACGUCAAAAUACACAACAACAAUACACGGCGCUCCAAACGACAGUGUGCGUGAACGGCGAAACAACUCCUGUCCCUCACGCCAGAAACGACAGCAAAAUGAUACUAAAUGGAGAUAGACGGAAAGCAGUACUCACUCUGCAUUUCUUUUGUUUUCUUUCUCGCUGUACUGUUCCAGCUGAGAUUUUUAGCAAAAAACAGUUGUUGGUCCUUGGGGUUGUGAGAUCGAUCCACGUCGCACCCAAGGAUGAUGGAAUCGAUCCAGGGCGUUCAUCCCUCUUUCCUCGUCCGGUAUGGGGUUGAAGUUUUAGUAAAAGAUGUUCAUCCAAAAUGGUGAAAGAUUUUUAAGGGUUUGAAUUUUGAAUUGGACCCUUGAAUCCGAAUUCUAUUCGUCUUCCCCCCAAAAUAUUGGAGCCCUAAAUCUCCCUCAUAUGUAUAUUCUCUUCCUACUCACUGUUAAAAGAAAGAUUUUUUUUUGACAAGUUAGGCGAGAAAAACUGAAGAGACUAAUCUUCUUUCUACUGAUACUAAGAGAACAACUUAAUAAUAGAUAUAAGAUAUACGUUUGAAGAAAGCAUAACAGAGAAUCAAUCCUAAUCUAGUUCGAUUCCCUCUGUUUUCACUCCGCAUAAACUCGUCUGGGGUCAAGAUUUCAUCCAUUGUUCUGUUUUUUGUCUGUGUUCGGAUUCGUUUUUGUGUUCGUGUGGUGGAAGAGCUCAUCCUGCUCAUUGCUGUGUAAUUCAUUGCACUUAGAAAGGUAAACACCAGCUCGUAUCAUUUAUUUCUUAAGGUGUGGGUCGUUUACUGCUUGAAGGUUGUAAGUUGUGUAAAUGCUGAAAGUUGGAAAUAAUCUUGACUUGCUCUUAGUUCGAAAUCUACAGUGUUUCUUUGUUUUGUUUAUUUAGAUUUUUUAGUUCGUAUGAUUAGAAGUCUUGCUGACUCUAUGUAGUUCUAAGUUGUUUAUCUUUCUAUUUUCUUAUGGUUUCAUUGUUAAUACUGUGAUGUUGGCUGUGAACCUUAUUUCAGUUUUAAGGUUUGGAACGUAGUUUGCUUAGUCUGAUGUGUGGAUAUUUGUUUGUCUUACCUUGAAUUUGGUAGCUCAGUAGCUUAUUGCCUUGUUCCCCCUUUCAUAAGAUCUGUUUCUUUUCAUUAAAGGUUGGGUGUCGUUAUUAACCCAUUAGUUGUUUGUUCUUCAUUAGUCUUCAUGUUUAGUCUUUUGUGGUGUGAGUUCGAUUCGUUUGAAGCAAAUUAAUAUAAGUAAAUAAACUGAUUACGCGAAAGCAUGCUAUACUCAUUUUCUCUCUCUCUCUCUCUCUCUAUCUAUCUAUAUAUAUAUAUGUGUGUGUGUGUGUGUAUGUUUUCCAUGUCACUUGUAAAUGAGUUAAUUUUAUAGGAAUGGUUUGGUGUAUUGUGGCUUCCCUAAUAUAAGUUGGGUGUUUUGAAUUUAAAUUUCUAGUGAUUAAGUUUUAAGACUACUCAUAAUUCCUUGAGAUUUGCAUCAAUGACAUGUUAUUCCUCUGUUUUGGGUGGAGGUUUAAGUGAUAUCAACUCUUUCUCAUGCAUACUGUUUUGCUCAUGGUCAAAAUUCUCAAGUUUAUUCUAUUAAUACAUUGUUUCAUUGACGUCUUUGCUUAAAUAUGUCUUACUUUUUAAACUCAAUGACGCUAAUUACAAUGGUCUGCUUCUUUUCUUGAUUAGCAUUUGCUUCUUUGUUAUUAUAUUUGUCUAAGUAAAUAUGCCUAAGUUCCUUCUGUUUAAUCACUGCUAGCUCAAUAAGUCAGCUACCACUGCCAUUUGGUGUUCUACUUGUUCAUGGAGACUAGUAAUUUACUCUUUAGUCAUGUAUAUUCCUUUGUGUGAUUUUUAAACCUCCUUUCUUUGUCAAGGCUUUGUGUUCUUUGGUUUAUUUUCUAAAAGUUUAAGCGCCUUCAUGACGGUAUAUGAUAUUUGAGUUUCAAUUUCUUUGUGUGCUUUAUCAUGAAUAGAACAAGCAAUUUGAAUCAACUUAGUAAUUUAUUUAUCCAUGUCUAUUUGUAUUUAUGCACAAUAUGUUAGCUUGGAGGAAUAAGUUUGUUUGGAUUUGAUGAUCUAUGGUCAUAUUUUACGUCCCUUUAGAAUGAUUUGGCAAAAAUCUCACUAGUUUUCUCCCUUUGUUUAAGAAGAUUGGAUUUAGCACCGUAAGAUUUCACCAAAAUGAAUUGUUUGAUUUUGGCAUGAGGUGUUUUGUUUGAUAAGUGUGCAACAUGUUUUCUUUAUAUAUUUUUGAGUUUAUUGUUAUUCAAUGGCUAUGUAUUCCCAGGAAUAUAAUAUGUUCACAAGUAUACAUACAUGCAUAAUAGAUGCUAUCUUUAGUGUCACAUUUUGUUUAUGAACUUUGUCACUGUUAUUUUGGUUGACUUGGUUGUCUUUAGAGUCAUAUAUGACGGUCUAACUUGAAUCUCUUAAGUAGCUUUCAUUUUAAUUAAAUUCGUCUUGUUGAAAAUAUAUCUUAUUUAUUUAUCACUUUGUACGCUAAUUCCUUUCCAUUUUAUUGCAUGUGAAAUUCCUUUUGAGUCCUUGUGAACUUUAUUUUUCUCCUUGCAUUCUCUUAUUGAGCCACAAAGUCUCAAAACACUUCCCUUCGAGUCAGCCGACCCUCGAGAUUGACGGAUAGGUUGAAAGCAGUAACAUAAUAUAUCGGCUAUAUACACUGGUAUACAGACGGAGUACGCAAUAGACAGGUGCAAAAACGUGAAAACGCAGGCCAAAAAAUACAGAGCAUAAGGUUGAAAGAACAUACAGGAAAAUAGGGUCAAAAGCUCAGGGAAUUUUCAGCAGGCCCAAACUUAGUUGAAUUUGGAGCAAAUAGCCCAAAUUCAAAUUUUCUACCUCCUAUACCUUCUUGUUUAUUUGGUAUUCACUAACAUUUUCGUUCUAAUUUAAUUAAUCCCCAAUGAUAACAUUUCUAUUUAUUUUUAUACAUUCAAAAUUAAUGUAUACAAAUACAUAUAUUUUUCUUUUUA